CUGCGCAGACAGGUGUUUUCAUGUUAGCUAACGGGGCUACAUUUAAUGUUUAUGUUGACUGCUGAACAUGUCUGCCUCAAUGGUGGCGAGAGCGACGGUCAGAGCUGUCAGUAAAAGAAAGAUAUUAGCUACAAGAGCUGCUUUAACUCUGACUCCGCCAGCUGUUGAAUAGGAUCCGGACCCUCCUGGAGAACAAGCCAGAAUAUAUUGGUCUGAAGGUGGGUGUGAGGACAAGGGGCUGUAACGGUAUGACCUACACUCUGGACUUCACCAAGCAGAAGGAUCAGGCUGAUGAGGAGGUGCUGCAGGAUGGUGUCCGUGUAUUUAUAGAGAAGAAGGCCCAACUCACUCUGCUGGGGACAGAGAUGGACUUCGUGGAGUCCAAGCUGUCCAGUGAGUUUGUCUUCAACAACCCCAACAUCAAGGGCACCUGUGGCUGUGGAGAGAGCUUCAACAUCUGACAGGGCUUCCUGCUGUGGAGAGGGGCUUCAACAUCUGACAGGGCUUCAACAUCUGAGAGGGCUUCCUGCUGUAGAAAGGGCUUCAGCAUCUGAGAGGGCUUCCUGCUGUGGUGGCCUCCCAACACACACACACACACACACCGCCCAACCCCGCCUCCCUCCCUCUCUCUCACAGCCCGUCUCUUCCCUGCCUCCCUCACUCUCUCUCCCACAGCCCGUCUCUUCCCCGCCUCCCUCACUCUCUCUCUCCCACAGCCCGUCUCUUCCCCGCCUCCCUCACUCUCUCUCACAGCCCAUCUCUUCCCCGCCUCCCUCACUCUCUCUCUCCCACAGCCCGUCUCUUCCCCGCCUCCCUCACUCUCUCUCUCCCACAGCCCGUCUCUUCCCCGCCUCCCUCACUCUCUCUCUCUCCCACAGCCCGUCUCUUCCCCGCCUCCCUCACUUUCUCUCUCCCACAGCCCGUCUCUUCCCCGCCUCCCUCACUCUCUCUCUCCCACAGCCCGUCUCUUCCCCGCCUCCCUCACUCUCUCUCUCUCCCACAGCCCGUCUCUUCCCCGCCUCCCUCACUCUCUCUCUCUCCCACAGCCCGUCUCUUCCCCGCCUCCCUCACUCUCUCUCUCUCCCACAGCCCGUCUCUUCCCCGCCUCCCUCACUCUCUCUCUCUCCCACAGCCCGUCUCUUCCCCGCCUCCCUCACUCUCUCUCUCUCCCACAGCCCGUCUCUUCCCUAGCCAAAGGCCUGUGAGGUGAAUAAAGAAGUGGAGAGCAGGACAGUAAAGCUGUGGGCCUUGAAGCAUGGUGGAGUCCUUAGACCUUGUAGCUAAACACUGAGCAAUAGACUUCCCCCUGAAGUCCUGUCUGCCCUCUUCUUAGACUAAAGAGCACAUAGACACACCAGGGUUCUGACAGGCUAUACUGUAACAGUACCCAGAAGACUUGGACAGCUAGGCUGAAAAUACAGUAGACAGCAAAGGAAAUGUCGGUUAGCCAAUGGAACGCAGCAUAGAAAUUGUUAUCCAUCCACAUGAGGGGAGGGGAGGGGAGGGGGGGGGGGGUCAGUUGGGUGCAACAUUUACACAACAUUCUGAUAAAUGUGUUUUAUAGAACAUGUAUGAUUUGUCUUUCAAUCAUAGAAGAAUAGACAGUAAUGUCUGCUCUAUUUGUUACAUUUGUGUCUGCAACUCUGAGAACGUUUCACCUUACUGAAUACACCCCUGAGGUUGAAGAGUUCCCGACCGAUUUUUUUGAAACUUGAUUUUGCAGUUUGUAAAUUAUUUUAGUUUUACUUGGUGUGUGUGUGUGUGUGUAUAAAUAAGAAUGUACAAAACCCUGUAAACUGUAUAAACGCACAAAACCAUAUUCCUCACCCACAGAGGGUUUGUUCUGCUCCAUGCCAGAACACGUGUUUGACAUGUAUGUAACUAGUGCAAUACGUCUAUGUACAGUUGGUGUGAUGUGUCUCGACUAGAAUAAAUAGGAAAUAUAAAGUG